UGCGCAGGCGGACUUUUAAGUCAGUGGUGAAAUCCCGAGGCUCAACCUCGGAACUGCCAUUGAUACUGGAAGUCUUGAAUUUGGUUGAAGUGGGCGGAAUGUAGCAUGUAGCGGUGAAAUGCUUAGAUAUGCUACAGAACACCGAUCGCGAAGGCAGCUCACUAAGCCAAUAUUGACGCUCAGGCACGAAAGCGUGGGUAGCGAACAGGAUUAGAUACCCUGGUAGUCC
rnacentral:rRNA from 1 species